UUAAACGGUAGGGUAUUGGCCUACCGUGGCAAUGACGGGUAACGGGGAAUUAGGGUUCGAUUCCGGAGAGGGAGCCUGAGAAACGGCUACCACAUCUAAGGAAGGCAGCAGGCGCGCAAAUUACCCAAUCCUAAUACAGGGAGGUAGUGACAAGAAAUAACAAUACAGGACUUUUUGGUUUUGUAAUUGGAAUGAGUUAAGUAUAAACCCCUUUACAAGUAUCAAUUGGAGGGCAAGUCUGA
rnacentral:rRNA from 1 species